rnacentral:lncRNA from 1 species
AUUGUAGGAGAGAAAUUGAAGAGAUAGUUAUUUUAAAACUGGGAGAGGUAAGGGAGAAGUGGAUUUAAGAGGAGAGGGAGAGUUUGUUGCAGAAGGUGCGGGAGACUAUCUAGAAGGAGCAAGAGAAGUUGGUCGAGGAGGAGCGAAAGAAGUAAAAUGAGGAAGAGCUUGAGAAGAUGUAUGAUAAAUGUACCCACAAUGUGCUUAAGAUAUAAGUUAAAAAAUUCGGUUGUAUGUUGUUAUUACUAUUAGUUGCAUAUUUUAAUUUUUGUAUUAUAUUUCUGCUGUUUUUAUGAUACAAAAAUUGAAUUCAUUGGGGCUACGCAAUUAAACAAUUUCAAAUGCUCAAUUG